CAACAGCGGUUCUAGAGCCGCGCCUGGGCGGGCGUGUGGGAGGGGCCUGUCGAGAUAUUUAGCGGCAGUGAAGGCCACGCCCCAAGUCGGAAGUGACGGAGCCGAGCUAGCGCGACGAGGCCACCUCUAUGGUCUUCCUCUCCUUCUGGAGUCGGGAAAUGGCCGCUGUGUAGUUACAGCGGAGGUAAAUCCCGAGAACCGUGCUUCGGCGUGUCAGGUAGGCCUUGCGCUGCAUUCAAGUCACUCGAAGAAGAAGAAAGUCGAGGAGACGGGACGGUUGGGUAUUGACAACUCUCAUGUGUGGUGACGGAUCGGCGGCGAGAAAGGAGACUCCCGAGCCGUUCCUUGAAUUUGAAUUUAAGAGUUUAGUUUCCCAUAACAUUCUCUACAAGAAGAAUCUUGGCAGUAUCUUAAAGACUUCAGUGACUUCUGGAUCCUGCGUAAACCUCAAGGAGAAGAGAAAUGGGUCGCUCCAAUUCUAGAUCACAUUCUUCAAGAUCCAAGUCUAGAUCACAAUC